GCCCUCUCUCCCACUGGGCUUUGGGGGUUGUUUUUCUCCUCAGCCAAGGCAGGAGGUCAAGAUCACCUUGAGGACUGUCAUCAGGACUGCUCUGAAGCCAGGCAGCCCUGUUUUCCUCCCUCACCCAUUU
rnacentral:snoRNA from 1 species